rnacentral:rRNA from 1 species
CGCGUAGGCGGCGGACCGUGUCGAGUGUGAAAGCCCCGGGCUCAACCUGGGAGGUGCGCUUGAGACUGGUUUGCUGGAGUUCGGGAGAGGAGCGUGGAAUUCCCAGUGUAGAGGUGAAAUUCGUAGAUAUUGGGAAGAACACCGGUGGCGAAGGCGGCGCUCUGGACCGAGACUGACGCUGAGGCGCGAAAGCGUGGGGAGCAAACAGGAUUAGAUACCCUGGUAGUCCACGCUGUAAACGAUGUGUGCUAGACGUUGGGGAGCCUAGCUCUUCGGUGUCGCAGCAAACGCGGUAAGCACACCGCCUGGGGAGUACGGCCGCAAGGUUAAA